rnacentral:rRNA from 1 species
AGAGAGAGACAUGCGUGCAUAUCAAUAAGCGGAGGAAAAGGAAACUAACAAGGAUUCCCCUAGUAACGGCGAGUGAAGCGGGAAGAGCUCAAAUUUGAAAUCUUAAAGGGUUUCCCUUUACGAAUUGUAGUUUAAAGAAGUGUUUUCUGUUGAGGUUUUGGUAAAAGUUCUUUGGAAUAGGACAUCAUAGAGGGUGAGAAUCCCGUAUUUGACCUUUACUUUCAACUUUGUGAUACACUUUCAAAGAGUCGGAUUGUUUGGGAAUGCAGUCCAAAAUGGGUGGUAAAUUUCAUCUAAAGCUAAAUAUUGGCGAGAGACCGAUAGCGAACAAGUACCGUGAGGGAAAGAUGAAAAGAACUUUGAAAAGAGAGUUAAACAGUACGUGAAAUUGUCAAAAGGGAAGCGUUUGACACCAGUGUUGUUUUCUCUGAAAAUCAAUUAAAGAACUGUUUAUGCUAAGUUGUUUAGACUUUAUCAGCUAACUGUUUAGUUUUGAGCUUUUCUUUAAUGCACUUUUCAGUUAACAAGUCAACAUCAAUUUCUUUUGCUGUAAAAAAGCUUGAGGAAGGUGGCUUGAGAUUCGUCUUAAGUGUUUAUAGCCUCUUGCCUAUGCAGUCGGAGAGAUUGAGGUCUGCAGCGUAGAUCCUUCGGGGCUAAAUGCAUUUGUGCUAAGUUAUAGCAUUUUAUAGACAACUUGUUGACUAUGAUUUGUCUUGUAGCUUACUCGCUUAUGUUAUUUUACCUACGCUUAGGAUGUUGACGCAUGAGAUAUACGC